rnacentral:lncRNA from 1 species
UUCACUUUGCUGCUUGCUGUACAGACUGUGCCACGCAGGCUGGCUAGGUCGCUCUCACAAAGGGGACUUACUUCCAUGGAGGAGCAAGGAGAGAUGAAGGCUGCCUCUGGAUCAGACAAAGGCAAACAGCAAGCACCAAGUGAUUUUUUUUGCAGAAGUUGGUUUUAAGAAGAAAAGCCAGGAGGCUGUACUAAGAUGAAUUGGGCAGGCUUCCCAUGCACAUCAACCAGCCGUGGCACAUCAAGGUGCACGAAGACUAGACACCUCCUCUGCAGUAAGACUUGACAACCUAACCCAGUAGGAGGAAAGGGUCCCAAAAGCAGGCAACAGAGUCAGAACAGCCCCUGCUCCCGCUGUUUAGGAACCUCACAAGAAGACCAAGCUACACAACUCUCACAUAUAUGCAGAGACCUAGGAUUCCUGAGCUCUGCCAAAUGUUGGGCUGUGGGUCUCUGUGUCUGUUCCCAUCAGUUGCUGGAUGAAGCCUCUCCGAUGACAGUUGACCUCGAGAACCAAUCUAUGAGUAUUGCAGAAUAUCAUUACAAAUUAUUUCACUUGUGGCAUCCAAACCACAACUAAGUCUGAGUAUUGGGUGAAAGCCUGGAGAUUUAAUUAAAAGACGAGACAUCCGGCUGCUCAUGCUAUGUGCAUCUGUCUGACUUUAUUCCAGGGGUAGAGCAGCCUUAUAUACAUGUACAGCACAGUGGAGAAACCCAGGUGUGAGAGUCCAUGUUUCCCA